GACGAACGCUGGCGGCGUGCCUAAUACAUGCAAGUCGAGCGAAGUUUUUCUGGUGCUUGCACUAGAAAAACUUAGCGGCGAACGGGUGAGUAACACGUAAAGAACCUGCCUCAUAGACUGGGGCAACUAUUGGAAACGAUAGCUAAUACCGGAUAACAGUAUUUCUCGCAUGAGAGAUAUUUAAAAGUUGGUUAUGCUAACACUAUGAGAUGGCUUUGCGGUGCAUUAGCUAGUUGGUGGGGUAAAGGCCCACCAAGGCGACGAUGCAUAGCCGACCUGAGAGGGUGAUCGGCCACACUGGGACUGAGACACGGCCCAGACUCCUACGGGAGGCAGCAGUAGGGAAUCUUCCGCAAUGGGCGAAAGCCUGACGGAGCAACGCCGCGUGAGUGAAGAAGGAUUUCGGUUCGUAAAGCUCUGUUGUUAGGGAAGAAUGGAUAUGUAGUAACUAUACAUGUAAGAGACGGUACCUAACCAGAAAGCCACGGCUAACUACGUG
rnacentral:rRNA from 1 species